rnacentral:lncRNA from 1 species
GGUUCCAACACAGGAAGCACCAGGCUGCAGCCCAGCCUCCUCUCCUGACAGACUCUCUGGCUGCUCCAGCUCUGUCCUUUUCCCAGGCCAGGGAAUAUGAGAUCCCACCUACUCAGGAGGUUGAGGAGUUCAAGACCAGCCUGGGAUGUAUAGUGAGACCCUGUCUCAAAACAAACAAACAAAAAGAAAGAAAGAAAGAAAGAAAGAAAGGAAGAAAAGUUUGACUUUUAAGGGCUCUAGUAACAAAAACUUCCUUUCUAAGCAAGCAGACUUGGCUCAUGACACCUGACAUCCUUUCAUCAAACACUGGUCCAAAUUCAAGGGGCAAAAUCAUCUCCUGCAUUUGUAGAUUUCAUAGCUUCUCUCCUUAGGUGAGUCACAACUCUUUAGGUUGCAAAAGAGAGGAGCCCUGCUCCAACUAGCCUAAUCAAACCAGAAUAAGAAAUGAAUUGGUUCAUAACCAAAUACCAGGAAGGCAGGGGCGGAAUUGGGCCUAGGAUUGACUUCUCCACAUCACAGGGAACAUGGCUGCUCACAUCUCUGGGCUAACAUCAA